UAUUAUUAAAAUUUAAAAAUAAAAAAUAUAUAAUAAAUUUAAAAAUAAGUAUAAAAUAUAUAAUUUAUUUGGAAAUGAAGCCUUGAAAGGCAAAAAGCACCUGUAAAAGUCGAGCAUUGUAUAAGAACUGCGAUUGCAAAGUUGAAAAAGACAAGCAAGAAAUCGAGGCUUUCAAUCUCAAUUAAAAACCCAUAAAAUCAACAUCUUUUAAAUCUCAUUGGCCAAUAAUCAUUCCCCUUCACCUAACUUAAAACUAACAAUCCAACACUUUGCUUUCACUUGCAAAAGGAAAAUCAUUUAAAAAAAGUUAAAAAAUAAAAAGUCAAAUGGGAUCCAAGAGAAAACCUUAAUCUGAUAAUCUAACUGAGGAUGUCCCAAGCUGACGUCUCUUACAGACAGCAGUCGAUUAUUCUUCUCAAGGGAAGAUCCAGAACAAGUAGCCACCCCUAAGUCCACAAUGUGUAUAUUAUCAUCAGACUGCAUCAGAGUUAGCUAACUUGGUUUAAGACAAAGCAGAAGUGAUGAUGAUGUUUCUUGAUGAGUGACCAUCAAUUAGUUUGCUAGUUUUGGCAUCAUGUUCUAAAAUUGCAGACUUUCAUGUUACUUUGACUGACUGAUUAAGUGAUGAAUAAUGAAUCAACUGAGUUGUUUGUCGAUGUUACUUUUGUAUUUUGACAGUUCUAUAAUUUGUUGUGAAUUACUUUCCCAGUUUUUGUAAUUUGAAUUUCUAAUGCAUUGAUAAUAGUUGGCUGA